UACGUAGGGUGCGAGCGUUAAUCGGAAUUACUGGGCGUAAAGCGUGCGCAGGCGGUUUUGUAAGCCAGAUGUGAAAUCCCCGGGCUAACCUGGGAAUGGCAUUUGGGACUGCAAGGCUUGAGUGCGGCAGAGGAGACUGGAAUUCCUGGUGUAGCAGUGAAAUGCGUAGAGAUCAUGAGGAAGACCAGUGGCGAAGGCGGGUCUCUGGACAGUUCCUGACACUGAGGAGCGAAAGCGUGGGUAGCAAACAGG
rnacentral:rRNA from 1 species